AAGUCUCGUGGUUAUGAAGAAAGAAAUAGCAUGGCAGCUACAGAAACCCAAAAAGUGAUUGUUUACGGAGGAAAAGGGGCUCUAGGAUCGGAUCUGCAUGUGUUCAGUAGUUCAGAGCUAAAACUGUUGGGUUGCUUCUAUAGAUCUUAAUGCCAAUGCAGAAGCCAGUGCCAAUGUUACAGUAAGAUGACUGAACAAGCCAGCCAGGUUACAUCUGAUGUCGGUGAGCUGUUAGGUAAAGAUAAGGUUGAUGCCAUCUUGUGUGUGGCUGGAGGCUGGGCAGGUGGCAGUGCCACACACUUUUUUUUACAUUUUUAUUAAACUAGCCUAUAUUUACAUUUCUUAAUGAUAUUGUUAAAAUAAAUUAUAUUAAUAAUAAUAAUGUUGUCAUUUUAAAUAGUUUUAAGUCAUGUCCUUUGGAAGUUUGCUGAGGCCCUCUGGUUGAGAACCAUUGAUCUAUGACAUGCUAAAUCUCGACUUUGUCACAUUUUCAAUGUAAAGCCAUGAAGUAUACUGAACGCAAAUGCAUCCACAUUCUAGCUAGGCAAGUAGAAUUUUUUUGUCGUUGAGUUUGUGACUGUAUUGUCACAAGGUUGCGUAAAGUCUAAUUCCGUUCUUAAAGUGAAUGUUUUUAUUUAUGUUGUUAUAUUAGUUUAUAAUCUGUAUAAAUGUAUUCUCUGUGCCUCA